ACGUCCCUUAUGAUUAGGGUUUCCUCAUCCGCCACUCCAUUUAGCUCCCCUUUCCUUUAACCUAAUAACCUGAAAUGCUCCCGCCUUGGAUGAAUCAACAUCUUUACCUCCUUUUCUAGGUCAUCAACAAUGUUGCUUUCAUCUUGGAUCGAACUUGUUCUUCAUUUAAUCUGAGAUCUCAAUUCAGGUUAAAGGUAUACCAAUUAAAUUUUUUACCUCGAACAUACAUGCGACAAUAUCUUCAAAUUUCUUAUUGAAAUUUCGAUCUAGUUUGUCGUUUAAAUAGAUGGAAAGAUGACAAUCAUAGUUGAAGGAUCUUGUCAUGAGGCUAAUGAUUAAAAAUCUUCAGGAUCCGAACUCGAGGUCAGUGGUUACUUGGUUCCAGAUGCAAGGUUGGAUAGUCAGUAUCACCAAGUCGCUGAUCAGGUUUUGAAUUCUUUACUUGAUUUCAGCCAAGCCGAUUGGGGAUUGCAUCCAUUUGAAAAUGCAUCAACUAAACUCGAUUUGUUUAGUUUGAUCAUGAUCCUAAAGUUCCCAAACAGAGCCUAUUAUGAGUUGAAAUUUUUGAUUUUGGGGCUUUGCCUCUAGUUGUUAUUCAUAGAAUUUCAGCUUCAACUAUUUAUUUUAGAUACUAAAGGUCCCUUAAUUUUGAAAUGAAGAAACUAUGAAUUUGAUGUAUUGCAAUUCAUAUAUGUCCGCAUGAAUGAAAAGGGUUAAAAAUACCA